CUCUAUGGAAGUACCUCGGUGGCACCAGGAGUCACUGGGGGCACCCAGCAGGUGCAUGCUUAAUGCAUGAUGGGUGAGACGUAAACAGCCAGCCAGGCGGGUCCAAGCUCUCUUCAGUGGUCCCCAGGGCUGGCAGCUGGCAGUGCAGGAAAUGGGGUCCCCGAGGCCUUGGGGGGCACCUCCCGUUGUUCGCCCCCACCCACAUCCGCUCAGGACACGCUUCCCACCUCCACCGCCCCCUUUCCCUGCAGGGACACCUGCCUCUUCCUGCCUCCCCGCCCAGCCUGCCUUUUUCUUGCACGUCAGCCAAAAUCCGAUUCCCCCAAGACUCUGCCUCAUCAAAGAUCCUCUUUCUCAUCACCAUAAUUUUCCAUUUGUAGGUUAAGCUGCACCUGGGGUUCUCAGAAAUCUGCUAACUCUCUUCCAACUCCCUGAACUCCUCAAACGCCUCGUCCUCCCCUGCUUCUGUUGUUCAGAGGACAGGACGUAGCAGGGGUCUGGAAUCUGAGGCUCAGAGCCCUUUCCCAGGAAGAAGAGGGCAACCAGCCCCUUUCAGCAUGUCCCGUGCUCCGUGCACCUCUGUGACACCUGGUUACUGUACUCUGAAGCUUCGCACACCCCCGCAGUCUCCAUCGUAACCCCAGAAAACCAAGGCUCAGAAGGCGACGGGCCCCAGGGCACCCGGACGGUGACGACGGUGGCUGUACCCUGUGCCAGGUGCCGUGUCCACGCUGGGUCACCUCGGGGGCCAAGACAGCUGAUGGCCGCAUCCGGGGGUGUGGACAGAUGGGAAGAGGAGCGCACCAGUCAAUGCGUGAGCCCAUUUCCGGCAAUCAGCGCCACGACGGAAAGAAGUUUAACUGGCUCACAGUUCAGCAUGGCUGGGGAGGCCUCAGAAAACUACAGUCAUGGCGGAAGGGGAAGCAAACACGUCCUUCUUCACAUGGCAGCAGCAAGGAGAAGUGCAGAAGUGCAGCGUGAAGCAGGGAAAACUAUCAGACUAUCAGAUCACUUGAGAACUCACUCACUAUCACGAGAACAGCAUGCAGCUGUUACUGUCGGGCGCAACAUGACAGAAAUGAUGAGAAGCAAGAGUUCAUUUUUAGACAGAGAGGACUGCACGCUCUCUCCCUAGAGCCAGCCCAGGAUGGCAGCAAUCAGAGAAGAACCCGAGGGAGCCUGAAGGCCAAACACUCACCUUGUGCGAUGUCCCUGACCCAUAGCUGUCCUGUCUCUGUUUGAAUACCUCCAGUGACAGAGAGCUCACUACCUCUAGGAGUGGCAAAGUCUAAUGUUGGUUGGGUUUGGUCAAAUCUGCUUUUGCUGAUUCUGUUCUGCCCUCUGAAGACACACAAAAUAAUGCCCGUUCCUUGUCCUCAAGGAAGUGGCUCUCUCAUCUGCUGCUGACCACCUCUGAUUCCUUAAGCACGCAUAUGUGUGCUGAUGUCUGGGUCCAGCCCACCUUGGUCCCUGGGAAUGGUCUGGUUUUCCAGUGUCUCUAAAGUGGAGGCCUUGGGACCAACACCAUGUUCCUUUUCCUGGUGGACCAGCCAAGAUUCCUAUCACUUUUCCACUUCUGGGUGCUGUACCCAGCAAGGCGGGGAAGGUCACGUUCAUGCAGAGCUUCUGAGGUACCUGUCAUCCCGCCUGGGUGUCGGGGAGCAGGCUCUGUUUGUGGGGUGCUGUGGCCAGCGCUGUGGGGGAUAGGGCAGGAGAAGCAGCCCGCAGGGGGUUAAAUCCGGUGGGUGCAAUGGAGUUGGCGGUGUUGGGAGCUGGCGGUUUUAGGAUGAACCUGCCAGUCCAGGGUGGGGCUCAGCUGCUACCCAGGGAAAACUUGCCCCGUACACCAGGGCUGAAGCUGAAACAGUCAGAUCCUCUUUCUCAGUUAUUUGGGGGAAUUGGGGACAGUGGGUUUGUCCCUGCUGGUGGCCAUGGGGUAGCUUUAUUUCCCACCGGAUGUGGGAAAUCUAAAGUCUGGUUUUCAGAGAAAGGAGAGAAGGGGCCGGGUGUGGUGGCUCACGCCUGUGAUCCCACCACUUUGGGAGGCUGAGGCGGGCAGAUCACCUGAGGUCAGCAGUUUGAGACCAGCCUAGCCAAUAUAGUGAAAUCAUGUCUCUACUAAAAAUACAAAACUUAGCCAGGCGUGGUGGUGGGCACCUGUAAUCCUAGCUACUUGGGAGGCUGAGACAGGAGAAUCGCUUAAACCCGGGAGGCAGAGGCUGCAGUGAACUGAGAUCGCGCCACUGCACUCCAGCCUGGGUGACAGAGCCACUGUGACCAGUGUUUCUUUGGUUUUUUCUUCUCUUGUAGAGAUGGGGUCUUGCUCUGUCCAGCCCAGGCUGGUCUCGAACUCCUGGGCUCAAGUGAUCCUCUCGCCUUGGCCUCCCAAAGUGUCUGGAUCACAGGCAUGAGUUGCCACACCCGGUCUCCUCAUAUGACAGAGCAAGACAGAGGGAGACUCCAUCUUAAAAAAAAAAAUAAAAAAAGUGGAGAAGGAGAGAAGGGGUCAGGGAGGCAGCCAGGAGGGAAGAGUGAAGUAAGAAGCAGAUGAAGAGAAGCAGGGUGGGCACACACCCAGAGCCCCCCUGUGUCACCCGCCUGCUACCAGACCCAGGAGGGUCCCGUCGGGGUGGGGGUCCUGGGACUUAACUCCUCCUCCAGCCUCAGCCCUCCCGGUGCCAAGAUUCUUCAACGUCCUCGGGAUGCACCUCCGCACUGUGGGGCCAUCUGGGUCAGCCCGGACGCACCGGCCUCUGUCUGGGUCCCAGUCUUCUCACCGCCAGGCGGGCAGGUGAGGCCUCGGUCAUUCCAGGUGCAGCCUCGGAUCAGGGAUGACGGCCCAGGCUGAAGUAUCAUGAUGAAGAGCUUGGACCGAGGGCAGUUAAGGUGUUCUUAUAUGAAGAGGAGAUCAGGACACACACACACACAGAGGCACGACCCUGUGAGGACCCAGGAGGAAGACAGCGUCUGCAAACCAAGGAGACAGGCCUCAGUAGGAACCAGCCCUGCCCACGCCUUGGUCUCGGACUUCAGCCUCCAGGACUGUGAGGGAUGAAUGCCCAUGGCCGGCGUCGCUUGGUGUGUGGCGUUUGUUCCGGCAACCCUGGGAGGCUGGGCAGGUGCACGGGGCUCAGAACCCCAGAUUGCAAAAAUGCAGCCCGGGAGGCUACCAGGAGGCUCCCGCCGCUCAGAGACGGAAGACGGCCCCCGUCACGGCUGCAGCAGGUGCUGCCAGGGACGCUGCUCGGAGCUCCAGGCUGCAGGGACAGGGCCACCCCGGGCCGCCCGCUCGCCCGGCCUGAUGUCUCCCACCCGGCACUUUGAUCCUCUGAAAGCCUGUAGACCGCGGGCUCUAUAACCUCAAGAUUUGUGUGCCGGGUGGGUCUGGAGGUCCCGCGUCUCAGCGGAUUUUAUUCCUCUCAUUAUUUUGCUUAACGGGCUGUUACUGCUGUGUCAGACAGCAUGGAGCGAAAAAUCACACUUUUUGGGAGAUGUUGUUCAAGAGAGAGACUGGAAAAGCAUGACUUAGUGGCGAAGGCUGCAGUGCUGAGCUACCACCUCCCGGAGCAGAGCCGAGGCCCUGAGGUGGGUGAGAGGGAGGUCCAGGCCCAGGGGCCAGGGGGAGCCCACAGCCACUCCUGGGGGGCUCCUCUGGAAGCCCUCCUGGGCAGGCAGGUCUCAGGGUCCCAGUCCAAGCCAGCGCUCAGCUUCAAGACUGGAAAAAACUGAACUUCUCCUUUCUCUUUUCUGUUUCUGCUUCUCCCAAGUCCCUCAGAUCCCCUCAUUCAUUCAUUCAUUCAUUCAUUCAUUCAUUCAUUCAUCCUUCCAUGAAUGAAAGGUCUCUUCAGUGUCAGAGGACACAGAAAUGAAUGAGAAAAAAAAUCUCUCUUUUCCUGGGGCCAAUAGAUGUGGACUUUGCCCUCGAGUACUGCUCUUUAAUUCCCUUUCUUUUAUCUUUAAAAUAAACUCCUUUAAAAACAGGCA